CAAUCCCCCUCCCUCCUCCUUCUUCUCAACUGCCUGCACACGCCACACUGCACAGAGAGGGAGAUGCCUGCCAGCACGAGGAGCCUGUCAGCGGGAGAAGCCAAAGUCUCUAGAAGUCUCUCUAAGAUUCCAUAGAAGAAUGGUGAUGAGGGGCCAACAAGGUUCAGAGAAACCAUUUUCAUAUUUAUUCCAAAUGGAACCUGCUUUAUAUCCGUCUAUACACGUCCAGCACAGACGACCACUGCCGACACAGCUCUCUUGUGUAAUGCUAGCUUGGAGGGGAAGUUAAAC